ACGCUCGACACCUACGUGAGGCAGCAGUGGGGAAUAUUGCACAAUGGGGGAAACCCUGAUGCAGCGACGCCGCGUGAGCGAAGAAGUAUUUCGGUAUGUAAAGCUCUAUCAGCAGGGAAGAUCAUGACGGUACCUGACUAAGAAGCUCCGGCUAAAUACGUGCCCGCAGCCGCGGUAAUCUGAGCGGGCUGGCAAGGC
rnacentral:rRNA from 1 species